rnacentral:rRNA from 1 species
UACGUAGGUGGCAAGCGUUUGUCCGGAAUUAUUGGGGCGUAAAGCGCGCGCAGGCGGUCCUUUAAGUCUGAUGUGAAAGCCCACGGCUCAACCGUGGAGGGUCAUUGGAAACUGGGGGACUUGAGUGCAGAAGAGGAAAGUGGAAUUCCACGUGUAGCGGUGAAAUGCGUAGAGAUGUGGAGGAACACCAGUGGCGAAGGCGACUUUCUGGUCUGUAACUGACGCUGAGGCGCGAAAGCGUGGGGAGCAAACAGG